CAGAACAGCAAUGCUUGCCAGGGUGCGGCGCCUUAGCUUUCUUUGGUGGUGUUUGCAGAGAGACCAAGAGCUCUGCCAGGCGGCCUCACUGCAGACACUUAAGCCUUUGCUUCCACUGAGGACCCAGCUCAUCCCACCCCUCCGGGAGGCUGCUGGUGCCCAACAUCAGCCGGAGCAGCUGAGGGGCAGGCACAAGGGCAAAUGUUCCCAGUGCAGGAGCGGCUGCGGAGCAGCUGUGCGAGCUUGCAGAAGAACCAGUUUUGCUCAGCUUUGGCUUUUGGAGAGAAGAAAUGAUUGCUGGAGAAACGGAGCUGGGCAGCAAGUCCCUGCUCAGGACGGGGUGAUGCAUUGAGCAUGGGAUAGCAAACAAAACACGUCGCUGCAUGGGAUCACUGCCCUGGGUGAUGGAAGCACUUGGCUUUAAAAAGAAAAGCAGGGAGAUUUUUUCUUUCCCUAGUCAUUUAUGCAGAAAAACACCCUCUGAGUGGGGUGUGGUUUCCUUCGGCAGCUGAAAUCGCCUGCCUCUUGCUUUCAGCUACAACCACCAAAGUUUCCAAAAUAAAACAAAAGCAUUAAGUGUGA